GACGAAGGUGACGACCGUUGCUCGGAAUCACUGGGCAUAAAGCGCGCGUAGGUGGCUUGGUAAGUCCAUGGUGAAAUCCCUCGGCUUAACCGGGGAACUGCCUCUGAUACUGGAUGGCUUGAGAUUGGGAGAGGGAUGCGGAAUUCCAGGUGUAGCGGUGAAAUGCGUAGAUAUCUGGAGGAACACCGGUGGCGAAGGCGGCAUCCUGGACCAACACUGACGCUGAGGAGCGAAAGCCAGGGGAGCAAACGGG
rnacentral:rRNA from 1 species